rnacentral:rRNA from 1 species
GGAUUAGGCAUGCAAGUCGAACGAGAAAGGGCCCUUCGGGGCCUGAGUAGAGUGGCGGAAGGGUGAGUAAUGCCUAGACAAUCUGCCCUUGUGCUGGGGAUAACAGCUGGAAACGGCUGCUAAUACCGAAUGUUGCCGCGGGGUCGCAUGGCCUUGCGGUGAAAGGUGGGGAUCCUUCGGGACCUGCCGCACGAGGAGGAGCCUAGGUCCUAUCAGCUAGUUGGUGAGGUAACGGCUCACCAAGGCUUUGACGGGUAGCCGACCUGAGAGGGUGACCGGCCACACUGGGACUGAGACACUGCCCAGACUCCUACGGGAGGCUGCAGUCGAGAAUCUUCGGCAAUGGGCGCAGGCCUGACCGAGCGACGCCGCGUGGAGGAUGAAGGCCUUCGGGUUGUAAACUCCUGUCACGGGUUAAGAAAUCCGGUGGUGCGAAUACCAUCAUCGGUUGACAAAGGCCCGAGAGGAAGUCAUGGCUAACUCUGUGCCAGCAGCCGCGGUAAUACAGAGAUGGCAAGCGUUGUUCGGAAUCACUGGGCAUAAAGGGCACGUAGGCGGCUUCGUAAGUCGGGUGUGAAAUCCCUCGGCUCAACCAAGGAAUUGCGCCCGAUACUGCGGGGCUUGAGUGCAGGAGGGGAGAGUGGAACUCUUGGUGG